rnacentral:rRNA from 1 species
CUCCCCCCGCGGGGAGGCGGAAACGGCGGCGGCGGCGGGGGCGGCGGCGGCGGACGACGACCACCGCUCUCUUGCCGACCUCGCCGGUCUCGCCCGCUUGCGGGCUUGGAGACCCCCUAACCGUGACGGUGUGUACUACGACCUCCCCUUCGCUCUCGGAGUAAGCGCCUCCUCUUCCUCCUCGGAAAACCGGCGUGGAAAAGAAUCUCCCCCUGCCUCCUCCCACCCUGCUUGUUGUGGUCGGGUCGGGUCGGUCGAGGGGUUUGACGAUUGGCUUCCACCGCCACGGCUUCCGGGAGAGCUUUGAGAAGAGAAAGAAAGAGCAAAAGAGAGUGCGCGGGCGCGCUGGCAGCCAGCCCCCCUUUGAAUCUCGAAUCUUAGAUCCGGUGGUCCGGAGGCCAGUGUGUGUGCUUGGCAACAGGCGUACUCGUUCGCCGACGCCGGCGGUAGCCCGGGGAAGAGCUUUCUUCUCUUUUUUAGGCUGCUGGAGGCCCCCAAGUUCGUUCACUUUGAGUGGGGGUCGUUGGCCGUAACAGCCAUACGUGAGAUUGUGAUCUGUUGGGAGCAAUCCUCGCUGUUGCGAUCGCCACCGGUUCGCCGUAGAGCACCGCGCAAAUAAGCGCUUGGUGUCCCGUGCGCUACCGCCGGCCCUUGAAAAGGUGGAUAGGGUAAACCCCCUCCGGUACCAACCAACCAACCAAACCAAGAGAGAGAAAAAACGAAAACGAUGAUGAUGAGGGGGGCGGCGGCAUUGUGCGCGGCUCCGCAAUGCGCUUCUCGCUUUGCUCGUCGAACGCUCCAGGCCGAAAGGAGAGCGAUCCCUGUGGGGUGGAGGUCGAGAGGACACGCGCCGCCGCCGCAGGGGCGGUGGUGGUUAUUUAAAACCUUUAAAACCUAGGCAGGUCUUCUAGCAGAGAACGGGCCCUCGGGAGUUUUCUUGAGAUGCCAACCCAGCACGCCCGCGUCGCGGGGGGGCAGUCCGUACCUUACUCCGCAGCAGGUCUCCAAGGUGUUCAGCCUCUGGUCGAUAGAUCAAUGUAGGUAAGGGAAGUCGGCAAGUUAGAUCCGUAACUUCGGGACAAGGAUUGGCUCUGAGGGUCGAGCCAUGCCGGGCCCACAGCCGGAAGCGGUCCCUCGUUCUCCUGGCGGGCGGCCGCCGGCGACGCGCGGAGGCGGCGGCGAGGAGGGGACCCAAGGGUGCCCGCGGCAUCGGCGGCCUGCGGCGCCGCGGCGCUUCGGCCCGCUCCGAGGGAGAAGGACUGGGCGAGGGGCGGCCUCUCACGAGGUCGCUCCGAGCUCGGACCCGACCCCGCAGGGGCGGUCGCCGGGCCCGCGGCCGCUCUGCGCUCCACCGCCGCCGGGUGCCCUCCCCUCCGCUCGAGCCGCGCAGCCCGAGCGCCCGCCGGCAGCAGGUGCCCCCGCCGUCGCGGGUCGGGACCAACGCGGAAGGCGCCUCUCGGGCAAAGGCCGGGGUUUCCCUCCCGUUUCCCCGGCCGCGGCUGGCAACAGACGGCCGUCUCAGAACUGGCACGGACCAGGGGAAUCCGACUGUUUAAUUAAAACAAAGCAAUGCGAUGGUCGGUGAUCGAUGCUGACGCAUUGUGAUUUCUGCCCAGUGCUCUGAAUGUCAAAGUGAAGAGAUUCAACCAAGCGCGGGUAAACGGCGGGAGUAACUAUGACUCUCUUAAGGUAGCCAAAUGCCUCGUCAUCUAAUUAGUGACGCGCAUGAAUGGAUUAACGAGAUUCCCACUGUCCCUACCUACUAUCUAGCGAACCCACAGGCAGGGGAACGGGCCUGCAGUUAACGGCGGGGAAAGAAGACCCUGUUGAGCUUGACUCUAGUUUGGCUUUGUAGAGAGGCACCUGAGGUGUAGCAUAAGUGGGAGGUCGCUCACGCGGCCGACGAUGAAAUACCACUACUCUGGUCGUCUCUCUACUUACUCGGUGAUGCGGGAGCGGGAGGCGUGACGGGGUUCGGGUCCCGCGAGCGGGGCGGAGCGCGGCUUCGGUCGUGUCUCUCCCCCUCCGGCCCGUCUUCCCUAUGCCUCUACCGAUUUUAGACUGCAAGUGACAUGAACAAGAGCGGCCGCCUCCCCGGGGGGCGAAAGGGGCUUCUCCGCGCGGGGGCGGUCGUCGCCGCCGCUCGCGGCGCGCGUCGCGACCCGUUCCGAGGACAGAGCCAGAUGGGGAGUUUGACUGGGGCGGUACAUCUGUCAAACGAUAACGCAGAUGUCCCAAGGUCAGCUCAGCGUGGACAGAAACCACGUGUAGAGCCCAAGGGCAAAUGCUGGCUUGAUCCGGACUCUCAGUACGAGCACGGACUGCGAAAGCACGGCCUAGCGAUCCUUUUGACUUUUACGAGUUUUAAGCGAGAGGUGUCAGAAAAGUUACCACAGGGAUAACUGGCUUGUGGCAGCCAAGCGUUCAUAGCGACGUUGCUUUUUGAUCCUUCGAUGUCGGCUCUUCCUAUCAUUGUGAAGCAGUUUUCACCAAGCGUAGGAUUGUUCACCCUCUAAUAGGGAACGUGAGCUGGGUUUAGACCGUCGCGAGACAGGUUAGUUUUACCCUACCGUUAACAACGUCGCCACGUCGCGACAGGAGCCCCGCCCAGUACGAGAGGAACGGUGGGUCCGGACCAAUGGUGCACCUCCUGCCCGACAGGCCACCAGGGGAGGGCAGCCACGUCCGGCAGGUUUUACCCCUGAAAGCCUCUCAAGGGGGAAACCGCGCUGAGCGUUAAGCGACGUGAUCGCGUGCGGCGCAACGGAUCGGCGAGUUUACUAGACUGAAGAGUUUAGACGCGAACCCGGCGAGAGCCAAGGGGGGCGGACUGUGCCCAUGCAAGGGGAAGUCACGCGGCUGUUUCUGACGGUCGAAGGGGGUCGAGGCCCAGUCGACGGCCCGCCAAACCGCUCCCUCCCAAGGGGGGCGGUGGGCCGCCGCCCCGGAGCUUGAAGGGGGGCCUCCCUUUGGACACCAGCUUCCUCGAUACAGAGCAAACCACGUCCGGUGUGCCGUACCGAACCGU